rnacentral:lncRNA from 1 species
UACCUUUCACUGAAUUGUCGUUUCCAUUCCCUAUUGACAAUAGUGUUGGGAUAUAUACUAUUAACCAUACGUUAAGAUAUAAUAUUUAUUAUAGAAUAAAUAUUUAUUUAAUUUUGAUAGAUCAUAUAUUCGUUUAUGGUGUCUAUUUACUUAUAUAGUAGAUGAUUUAGUGUGUAGAGUUUUAGCUUAUACACAAAUGAUUAAAUCACCGGUUCUUAUAAGUGUAAAGUUUUUUGUUCACAAUCUAGGAUGGAAAUUGGACAUGCCAUCGGUAUGAUUGUAGCACAAGAUUAUAUGUAAUUUAUCUUGAUUAUGGGAACAGUAUAGUUCAAACUUCUUGUGCUAGUGUAUUUUGUAUGUAUUGAACGAGACCGAGUAGAGAUAGUUGUUUUAGACUGACUCACAAAAGCAUAUUCUUUAAACUGUUAAAUGUACUUAUAUUCUCAAUCUUGAUAUAACUAUUAUGAUUUGUAUAUAUUAAUUAUCGUUUUGAUUUAUUAAAAGGUAAGAUUCUGAGAUGAGUCAAUAUGUCUGGUAGAUUGGAUGAUAAUAAUAUAUAUGAGUGAAAUAAUAAGUUAGUCGAUGGAAUCCAUGUCUUGCUAUAUAGAUUGAUUGAUAUGCCUCUUUGAGAAACUUAUAAGUUUUCAGUAAUUUAAUUUAUUGAUUAGUAUCUGUAAUCUUAACAUGGGGAAUUACAUAAGUGUUUAAUGGGGAAUUUCGAAAUAUAAAUAGAGGAGUGCAAUUACGAAUUUCUAGGGGAAUGAUUUGUAAUUUAUUAUGGUAAGAAUAGUUCAAAUUAAUUAUUUGGAAUUAUUUCCAUAAUAGGAAGUCUCAAUAAUUAAUUUUGUGGUCCCUAUAGUGCCCAAAUUUAACUAGAAUUCAAAAUCCUAAUUCUAAGGGGAAAAGGAGAGACAAGCGUUGGUUUUCUUUUAAAAAGAAAACUAACGUGUAAAUUUUUAUUUUGAAGAAAAUCAAUGUGUCUUUUGGUUCUCUUCUUUGAAUUGGGAAUAAAUCUCUAUAAUUAGGGAUUCUUCUAACCCUAGAAAGUUUGAAGGUUUUCUAUUCAUACUUGUCCACCCAAAAAUUGAGAGAGUUCAGAUAUGAACUUGGGAUCAUUGUAGAAGACCGCAAAGAUGCUGUCUACUUGUGGAUUCACUUGAAGGUUUGUCUGACCAGUGGAUUUGCUUGAACGUAUCUACUCUCGCUUCAAGAGGUAAUUCUUCGAUUAAAUUUCAACAACUUUAUGUGUUCUAGCAUAAUUGUAUAUGUUCUAGCUUAAACGUUUUUGAUUAUCUAUUAUUCAUGUAAACAGUAAGAUUGUGAUAUGCUUCCGUUGUGCGCAUAUAGUUUUCCAACAAAUAGUAGCUGUCCAGAUUCACCUUGAUAAUAACCAUGUGACUCCAAAUAUUGGGAAGGGACCUCAUAAGCCGAUGUGCUCAAUGUGACCAUGAGUGGCUUGAUUGCUGGAUUGGAUUUGAGUGGCAUGCUAUCUUGAUUUUCUUGAAUAAUCUUAAUUAGCUACUUUAGGAUUAGAAAUAUGUAAUGUUGGAGCCAUAAUAUCACCAUAUUUUCCAGUAGCCUUCACGAAACCAUCAAAGAUGUUCGAACAUAAUAGGGCUCUUGAAGCAUUACUAAUAUUGUGCCUCUUCUCACAACCUAGAGAUGUACUAGAUGUUGCCUUCUUGAGCAUUACCAUGUUCCUAUCCUCUUUUCUGCCAAAUUCUCUCCCUUUGUUUAAAUCCUUAACUUGCAUUACUGCUAAUAUUGAGCCUUCACUGAGCAAGAUAAAGCCAUGUUGGGGCGGGCUGGACUACCUCAGGAGGAGGAUGUCCAGUGGCCGUAGCAACCAUGGGAGGGCUGCGCGGCCGCUGCCAAGGGAAUCACUAGAGCUGCCAGAACGAGGGGCCCUAUUACCUACUUUAUCAAGUUAAAUUAUUGUAGAGUUGUUAUAGAUUCAACAACAAGGCUCAAUCUAAGAGGCUAUCCUAUAUCCCUUCGUAUUUCUCUUUCUAAUUAAUGAGAGACAACUGACACACAAUAAUCAUCCCUGCUUGAUAAUGCGGUAUAGCAAACGGCAAGGCUACCAAAAUGGGAUGAAGAGAGAAGUACGGCCAGGGGGAGACCAGAAGAAUCAACAUCAAAGAAGCUAGAGAGCCAAUAAGAAGGCAAACCGAGGUUUCAAACUGGCAAAGGGACAAGUGCUACAAUUGCGUAAAGAGAGGACAUUACGCUAGAGAUUGUUGUUACAAGAUAGCUGAAGGUGUUAUAAAAAAGCAAGAUGAAGAAGAAGCUUGGGACUUUGAGACCUCUUAUAUAGAUGAAGAAACCAAGCAAUCAACAUGAAGUUAUUUUCACCUCUCACUCUGACAAGGAAAAGGAGCUUGCACGUGCAAUUGUAAGUGAGAAAUUGGUCGAUUAUUAAAAUGAUUGGAUUGUUGAUUCAAGAUGCUCCAAACACAUGAUCAGAGAUGAGAAAAAGCUUAUUAACAUGAGCAAAUAUAAAGGUAGUUGAGUAAUGGUGACAUCAAAUAAUUCUAGAAUGUAGACUGUGUUUGUGACACAUUAUAGCUCGAGAAAAGUGCAACUUCAAAAUGUAUAUCAUGUUUCAAGGUAUGAAGAAGAAAUUAUUAUCAUGUUUGAACCAAUGAUGUAAAAGUAUAUCGAAACUUGAAAGUUAAUUACAAGCUUUCCAUUCAUUGAGGAAAGAAAAUUAGAGUCAAUCUAUGUAGUGUUAACUGAGACAGCUUAUGUAGAGAAGACUUGGAGUAAUGAAAAAAUAGAUUUAUGGAAUGCACGUCCCGGGCAGAUGAGCUACAACAAGUUAAAAAUCAUGAUGCAACAAUCAAAAUUGUAAUGUCUUUAUCAGCUUGACAUUAAAGGAGACACUAUAUGUGUUGGAUUCCAAUAUGAAAAAAAACACAUCAACUUUCCUACGGGGAAUCUAAGUAUCAAGACAAGAAGUCACUGGAGUUGAUGCACUUAGACAUGUUUGAACCAGUAAAUCGACCUUCUAGUAGUGGUAACUGAUACAUGGUAACCUUCAUUGAUGACUUAUCAAGGUACGUGUGGAUUUACUAUUCGAGGAGAAAUCUGAAGUAUCUGAGAAGUUUAAAGAGUUCUGACAAACAGUGAAGAAUGAUAUUAUAUUGGAAGGAGAAUCAAAUAUCUAUGCAUGGGUAAUAGGGGAGAAUACAUGUCACAUGAGUUCAAUGACUACCAUAAGAGAAGAUGAUACCACAACAAUUUACUUUCCCAAAUAUGUAACAACAAAAUGGAGUAGCAGAAAGAGAAAAUAGACACCUGACAAGGAUAUGCAGAAUUAUGUUUCAUAGUAUACAUGUACCAGCAAGGUUUUGAGCAAAAUGCAUGAAGACUAUUGGAAUUCAUCUCACCAUUCGAGAAACUCAAGAAGAUAAUAACUAAUGUAAAUCACUUUCGAGAUUUUGGAUGUGUGUGCUAUGUGCUCAUGCCAGAACAUCUCCACAACAAGUUUGAUAAAAAGGUUGUUGGUUGCAUCUUUAUCGGUUAUGCUGAACAAAUAAAAGGAUGGAGGUGAUGUGACCCUACCACUAAUAGCACAUAUGUGUCAAGCAAUCUGGUAUUUGAUGAAGCAUCAACAUGGUGGUCCAAAUAGGUAAUUUCCUAUUAGAUUCAAUAUCACUUGAGCAAAAGCUACAAGACAAGAUCAAAGUAAAUAAUAGGGGAGAAGGAUAGAAACUAACCAAGAGGAAUGAGGAAAACUCAAAUCACCUACACCAGAGGUAUCUCCACCCACAAAAAAGAAGGAGAGGUCAUGGCAAAUUGAAGCAUGUGAAACUCCUGUGAUAUUGCAAGAAGAAGUCCAAGAAGCACCACAAUUGUGACUAAGGAGGUCUACAUAAUUGAAAUUCCCAAACACCAAGUAUAAUGAUGCAACAUUAGCAGAGCGGUCUAGAUCAAGGAGACUACUACCUUCGAAGAGGAUUCAAAGAGAAGUGAG